rnacentral:piRNA from 1 species
UACAAGCUAUGGUAUCUCCUUCAACUUUU